rnacentral:misc_RNA from 1 species
GUUCUUUCAUAUGACUUGUCUUGAACAAUUUCAUUCCCAAAGUGACUAUUUUCCAUUCCAGAAUCUCUCAGUGUAACCAAAAUUAGGCAUAAUAAAGAAAAAAUCAUAUCCAAGACAUGGUAAUGAUUUGCAUUUUUAUGUUGAGCUGAGACAUUAGAAAACUAUAAGCAGCUCAUCCAUCGACAUAUUAGAUGCCAUGACAGUGACUUUUAAAACAACGGCCUCCCAAACCUUUUCAACCCGCAAUCUACUACUUUUAUCUAGUACUUACUUCACCCUCUUUUACCUAGCCGAUGCUUAAUUGCAAGAGGAGACCCAUCAAGAGUUCUAACAGUAAUUAUAACAUCCUAAUCCUUAUGCCAGUUACUGUACCAGGGAAUCGGUGUUGAUGUGUUCUGAGGCGGUUGAGUCGUAGUCAUACAAUGCUGUUGCUGCCAAUGAUGCAAACCAUCAUUUACACUAACUGCACCAGCAUCGACUGCAAUUCUUGGUUCAACAUCCACACUGUUAUCUUCAAUAUCCAUAGCUACUCCUUCCAUAUCUUCAGCAUCCAUCAUAUCUGAAACAUCAGGUUGACUAAGGACUUCAGCUUCUGCUGCAGAAGGAAAUUGAGAUGGAACCCAAGGAACAACUGCCAGACAUUCUUUCGCAGAACUAGAGUCGUCCUGUUGCGCUGCUUCAUUAGCAUCAACUAGUCUAAAUGCAUUUGCUGUGUUAUCCCAGAAGACUUGACUUUUGAAACCAUUAAGAAACUGGGGAUCCACUUUAACGGAGAAAUUAGAAGGGGAAUGCAUAGGCUGUGUGUUCAUAGGCUUGAAUAGCACAAUUGCCCUCUCUUCAUUCGCGGGCACACUUGGCAGUUCCUCAAUUACUAGACCCCUCUUUACUGCAUUGCUUCCGAAGCUGGGAUAAGUUGUUGCUUGCUCAAAAGCUAUAGGAAUCUCUGGUUCUUCAACCUCUUCUAUUAUGGGAGGCAACACCGCAUCCAGUCGACGAAUUUUUCUGGCGGGAGAGGAAAGUGAAAAAUCAGAGAAUUCAUCAUUAACAUCUUCCAAAUCCUUCCUCUUCAUCUUCAAUGUAUAGUAUGG